ACCGUACAGUGAACAGUACAUCGGUAGGGGUAAAAUGGUCAGAUUUUGGCCAAAAUGUCAAAACUUGAAAGCCCAUUCUCACUUUGCCAAAACUUGAAAUUAAAACUUGGUCAACUGCCAUAACAUGCAAUUUACCCUUUAAUUUAAGUGGUUUGGUAGCCUAAACCGAAUUGAAAGUUUAACCAUGCUUUACCAUUAGUUUAUCAGACCAAAUCAAUCCUCUGUUUAUCUUAAAUUGAACCGGUUCUGACGUUUACCUCUUAACCCAUGACAUUUAACCCCAAUUUAAAGAUGUAAAACCCCUAAUUCUCCUGAAUAAAACACCAUAGACGAACGAAGCUUGAAGGCUAAAACCAUAUACAUAGAAUCUGUUAAUGGAGCGCCACAGAUCCGAAAGCGCGCGAAGACAUUUGUUCUACUUGUAGCGGCAAAUGUUGGGUUACUUAUGCUUAUUUUUCAAGUCGUUUUAUUUUUUUGUAAGUUAUGGAGAUCGGACAUAGUAACCGUAUAGUAUGUUUGAAAUGAUCAAUAAUGUGACAAGUAUGUUUUUUAUCUAUGUGUGAUAAAAAAAAUAUUAACACUAAAGUUUGAAUGUUCGAUAGUAAAUGUCGGCUUAUAGCUCUUUCUACAAUACUAAAACAUGUUCUAUCUUCUUCUUCCCUUGCCUACUUCUAUUCGUACGACUGCUCGGAUCCUUCUCAGCAGAGGGAACCAUGAAUCCUUCACUCGUCACCGCCAUUAACGCUCCAAUUUCACCUUCUCCUCUUCUUUCUCACUUGCUACCUUCUUACUCGCCGUCGUUAUCGACUUUCGUUCCCUCGUAGCUCAGCUGCUUCCUCCGACCAAUUAUCAGCGAAGAAUCUCGGUAUCCAUGGGAAUAAGAAGGAGCUCACUGGAUUGUGGAGAAAAUGACGCCGCCGAUUGGCCGCAGGAUUUUUAGGCAAAGGCUUGAGACUGGGGAACGUGAAGGUGAUGCAGAACAGCGUCGGGCAUUUAUGAGGCUUGUAUAUGUUUCAGCUCUUGUGUUUGGAGAUGCUUCAUCCUUCCUUUUGCCUUGGAAGCGAGUAUUGAAGGUCACAGAUGCCCAGGUUGAGAUUGCUAUUCGUGAAAAUGCAAAGCAGCUGUAUGCCCAACGGUUAAAAAUUAAAAUUAGUUGGUAGAGCUAUUAACGUAGAAAACCUAGUGGACCUUAAAAAAGCACAACUAUCAUUCAAGCUUUCUGAUGAGCUUGCUGAAGACCUGUUUAGAGAGCAUACGAGAAGAGUAGUCGUAGAGAACAUUUCAUCGGCACUCAGCAUACUAAAAUCCCGCACACUAGCAGCGUAAAUCAUUUUAACAUAUUGCUUACUGAAUCAUGCAUAGAAAAGUCGUAUAGAAUAAUCAUAAUCCAUGUGAAUUAGUUUGGUUUA